UUGGUUAUGCAUGAAAGAUUCAUAUUUUAUAAUGUCUCUCCUUAUUUCUGGUCCUAAGGCUCCUAGUAAUGACAUUGAUGUUUAUUUACAACCGCUAAUUGAUGAGCUAAUGGAAUUAUGGAAUGGUGUAAAGACUUAUGAUGCAUUAACCAAUGAUACUUUCAUAUUGCGUGUUGCUUUGUUGUGGACAAUAAAUGAUUUUCCUGCCUAUGGUAACCUCUCGGGGUGGAAAACAAAAGGUUACUUGGCUUGUCCUUAUUGUAAUGUUGAUACAUGUUCUCAUUAUUUAAAAAAAAAGUAAGAAGUUGUGUUACAUGGGACAUCGUUGUCUCCUUGAUCAAAAUCAUCCAUUUCGAAGAUGUGUGGCUGCAGUCAAUGGUAAAGUUGAAGAGAGACCACCUCCAGAAAUACGAUCAGGGGCUGAUUUGCUUUAUCAAAUGCGAAAGAUCAAAGUAACUUUUGGAAAGCAUAAUAAGAUGUCUAAGUGUCGUAAGAGAAAAAGAAAAGGGACUAAAAAGAAAAGCAAAGAGGGAAUUGGCUAGAAGAAGGUAAGUAUAUUUUUCACAUUGUCGUACUGGAAAGACCAUUUGAUUAGGCACAACAUAGAUGUCAUGCACACAGAGAAAAAUGUGUGUGAAUCUCUACUUGGGACUUUGUUGGAUAUUGAGGGGAAAAGUAAAGACACUUUAGCAGCCCGCUUUGAUCUUCAAGACAUGAAGAUUAGGCCUAAACAACAUCCUAUGAAAGUAAGAGAGAAAUAUGAAAAGCCAAAAGCACCAUUUCAUAUGGAUACAAAGGCCAAGGAAAUUUUUUGUAAAGUUUUAUCAUCAGUUAAAUGCAUCUAAUAUAGCUCGUCGUGUUGAUGUGAAGAAUGGGAAAGUAUUUGGCUUAAAAAGUCAUGACUAUCACAUUAUUAUGCAACAAUUGCUGCCUUUAGCUGUUAGAAAAGCGUUGCCUAGAGAAAUAAGUGCAAUCUUGAUUAAGGUCAGCAACUUUUUAAAGGAAUUGUGCUCUAAGGAUGCUUCCUUCGAUGAUUUUGAGAAAUUAGAGCAAAGUGUAAUUGUGACACUUUGUCGCCUAGAAAGGAUUUUUCCUCCAUCUUUCUUUGACAUUAUGGUACACUUGGUGAUUCAUUUAUCAUAUGAAGCGGCCAUUGUCGAUCCAGUCCAAUUUCAAUGGAUGUAUCCAAUUGAGAGGUAUGAUUUAAUAUAAUCUUUAGUCAUAAAUAUCCUUAUAAAAAACACUUUUAGUGAUUUGCUUUUUUAUUUUUUUAAAUAUGAAAUUGCAGGUUUUUGUUCAAGCUAAAAUCUUUUGUGCAUAAUAAAGCAAAACCAGAAGGUUCCAUAGCCGAGGCAUUCAUUGCUCAUGAAUGAAUGACCUUCUGUGCUCAAUACAUGCAAGAAGUUGAAUCCAGAAAUAGUAAAUUCACUUCUGAUUGCGAAUGCAAAGGGUUGUCUAUCUUUUCAAAUAUGAGUGAAGUUUUAGGAUAUGAGGAGAAUAUUCAUUUGAGUCAUUAUCAAUGGAUCCAAGCACAUGAAUAUGUCUUGUUCAAUUGCGACGAGGUUACAAAAUAUUUAGAGUAAGAUGCUCAAAAUCUGCUCUGUUUUUAUUUUUAUUUUCUUUUAACCUCAAUUAGCACCUACUAAAUUUAGUGUUAUUUUUAUAAUGUAGAGAGUAUAAGAAGCUUCUUAGGCAACAACAUUUGCAUAUACAACUAUCAGACCUUGAAAAGCUCCACAAAGAAACAUUUGUGAAAUGGUUUCAAGCUAAUGGUAAAUGCUUGUGCCAAGAGGAAGAUGAGCAAAUUAGUGAAGAUCUUCGGAGGCUAAGCAAGGGUCCAAGUAGUUUGGUAAGAAAAUGAAAAAAUUUGUGUGUAAUGGAUUCAACUAUUGUACAAAAGAUGUUGAGAAAAAUUCCCCUACUCAAAAUAGUGGGAUAGGUGUUUAAUUUAUGGAGAAGGGGGUGUAAUAUAUUAUGGCAUGUUAAGGGAAAUUAUAGAAUUAAAUUAUUACGAAGGAAGAAGAGUAAUGAUAUACACGUUUUAUACA